GAGGGAGCGCUUGUCCUGAUCCUUCUUGUUGUCCGUCUUCUUCUCUUCUAUAUCUCCAUCAGUUUUCUUCCUCUGUCCUUACUUCCUCUGCCUGCCCGUCGUCCUCUGGCGUGCCGGUUCCUGGGUGCCCGCGGCCCGCCGUGCCUGCCGUCGCACCUCGCCGUCGUUUGCGGUCUCUCUGUCCUUACUUCCUCUGUUUGCCCGCCGUCUUCUGCCGCGCUGAUUCCUGGGUGGCGGCGGCUCGGCGUGCCUGCCGGCGCGCCUCGCCGUCGUUUGCGGCCUCCGCGGGAUACCGUGCCGGACAAAUCGCGCCGCCAUGUUUCGUCGUUUCAGUUUCGGGGUUGCCACGACCCGGCGUGCGUGCUGCCGUUGCCGUGUCCCGGCGUCCUUCGGUUUCUAGAGCUGUUGAGUUCAGCAGAUCGGUCGUGCGGCCAGUGCACAGUUUCCUGUUCUUCCGGCUGGAUCGACCUGUUGGUCUAUAUUCUCGAGGCUCCAGCUGUACUGACGAUGUAGUUUUUCUGCUUAGUUUCUCUCGGGUAUGCUUUCUGCUCCUUUAAAUUAUGUAGUAACUGUCUUUUUUUUCGUGCUUAAUUAUCAUUCUCCUAUUUUUUAUCCUUUUAUCUGCUAGAUGAUACACCAUGCGUUAUGUUCUAACGCUUCUGUACGUUGUGCCCUCGCUUCUCAUUUUUUUUUGCUCUUGUUUAUUUUGUUAAAUAAAAAAAAAAGAGGAGGAGAGGGAACUAUCAACAGAAGGCUCAAUCAAAGUGACGACCACACCAGUGGUUUUUUUAUCGCUCUAUAUGCUUUGGCUUCUUUGUUUGUUUUUCUAACUAUUCUACUAUGUCUUCUAUCCUCUGACUUUAUCCUCCCAUCUUCUUAUCUACUGCUUCAUGCUUGGUGAGUUUAUAACUCUUCUUGCUUUUUCUAUGCAUUCAUUGUAUUUUUGGGCUGCCUUUAUUUAGAUUGUAGGUUAUCCUGCUAAUUCAUUACGCUGUUUGUUCUUGUCUAUUCCUUUGCCUAAAUGUUUUCUGUUCGCAUUUCUUACUUAUUAAUAUUAUAUGUGGUUGCCCAACGUUGUGGGCUUCCCUAUGCGCAUGUCAUACGGGAGAUUGCGCCCGAUGGAUGCACUCUUUAUGGUGUGAAGCUGCAAUUACCAUCGUUAUUUAGCCACAAUAUACCGUGUUGCCUUUUUUUUUGUCCUCACCGGUGCUAGAUUCCAGUGCUAUGCAUGAGAAUGCUUCCACUGCUCCAUAUAAGGAUGCUGCUCAUCGGGCGCUUAGAUGUCUCCAAUCAAUAUAUGCAUUUACCGUGCUGGAUUAUAGUUACGACACUAUGGUUAGUCAGCAACAAAUUCUUAGGCGCAUAUUCUCCGUUGCAAAUAGGGGUGCACAGCUUGCGCAUGUAGUUGUUGCGAUGUCACACAAUGGUUCAUCUACAGCACUGCACCUGCUCUAUUCUGCUGAGCGUGUGCUUGAUGCCCUCAAUGUCUUGAUGAACCCUAUUGGUUUUUAAGCACUACUAAAUUAAGAGCCCCCUUGUAUUGUAUAAUAUUACUAUCUAUUAUUACCACUAUACCCUCUACCAUGUAUGUCGUAUAAAUUUGGCCUUCCAUGCAUUUUACUUCAAUAUAAUAAUUAAACUUCACCGUU